UACGUAGGAUGCAAGCGUUGUCCGGAAUUAUUGGGCGUAAAGAGUUCGUAGGCGGUUGCCUAAGUCUGGUGUUAAAUACAGGAGCUCAACUUCUGCAUGGCACUGGAAACUGGGCGGCUAGAGUGUGGUAGAGGUCACGGGAAUUCCAGGUGUAGCGGUGAAAUGCGUAGAUAUCAUUUGGAACACCAAUGGUGAAAACAGCUCGCUGGGAGUGUGCUGACGCUGAGACACGAAAGCCAGGGGAGCGAACGGG
rnacentral:rRNA from 1 species